CAGUCGCCGCGGUAAUACGUAGGGUGCGAGCGUUAAUCGGAAUUACUGGGCGUAAAGCGUGCGCAGGCGGUUGUGUAAGACAGGUGUGAAAUCCCCGGGCUUAACCUGGGAACUGCGCUUGUGACUGCACAGCUAGAGUAUGGUAGAGGGGGGUGGAAUUCCACGUGUAGCAGUGAAAUGCGUAGAGAUGUGGAGGAACACCGAUGGCGAAGGCAGCCCCCUGGGCCAAUACUGACGCUCAUGCACGAAAGCGUGGGGAGCAAACAGGAUUAGAUACCCCCGUAGUCCCUGUCUCUUAUAC
rnacentral:rRNA from 1 species